rnacentral:misc_RNA from 1 species
GAUGAAGAACGUAGCGAAAUGCGAUAAGUAAUGUGAAUUGCAGAAUUCAGUGAAUCAUCGAAUCUUUGAACGCACAUUGCGCCCGCUAGUAUUCUGGCGGGCAUGCCUGUCCGAGCGUCAUUUCAACCCUCAAGCCCCCGGGCUUGGUGUUGGGGAUCGGCGAGCCUCCGCGCCCGCCGUCCCCUAAAUCUAGUGGCGGUCUCGCUGUAGCUUCCUCUGCGUAGUAGCACACCUCGCACUGCGAAACAGCGCGGCCACGCCGUUAAACCCCCAACUUCUGAACGUUUGACCUCGGAUCAGGUAGGAAUACCCGCUGAACUUAAGCAUAUCAAUAAGCGGAGGA